AGAAGAACACUGAUAUCAUCAAACAGCUCGUGCAGGUGAAACAAAAGCAGAAGACCUGAAGAAGCAGCUGCAGCUCCAAACUCAUGAGUCGGAGGAGAAAACUGAAACCAUCCAUCAGCUCCAGCAGUUGGAACAAGCAGCAGAGACCCUGAAGCUUCAGCUGGAGUCCAAAAAUCAGCAGAUGAUCAAAUCUGAGAGGGAGAAGGAUGAAAUCAUUCAGAAGCUGA